GACCCAGUGGCGAAAUGGUAUCGCAUCCGCGUAACUUACAUUCGGUAGUACCACGUUUCCGCGGAAGGCACCCGUUCGAUUCGGGUCUGGGUCG